rnacentral:rRNA from 1 species
ACGUGCUACAAUGGCGUAAACAGAGGGAAGCGAGCCCGCGAGGGGGAGCGAAUCCCAAAAACAACGUCCCAGUUCGGAUUGUAGUCUGCAACCCGACUACAUGAAGCCGGAAUCGCUAGUAAUCGCGGAUCAGAAUGCCGCGGUGAAUACGUUCCCGGGUCUUGUACACACCGCCCGUCAAGCCAUGGGAGCCGGGGGCGCCUGAAGUCCGGGACCGCGAGGACCGGCCUAGGGCGAAACUGGUAACUGGGGCUAAGUCGUAACAAGGUAUC